GAUGAACGCUGGCGGCGUGCCUAAUACAUGCAAGUCGAGCGAACAGAUAAGGAGCUUGCUCCUUUGACGUUAGCGGCGGACGGGUGAGUAACACGUGGGUAACCUACCUAUAAGACUGGGAUAACUUCGGGAAACCGGAGCUAAUACCGGAUAACAUUUGGAACCGCAUGGUUCUAAAGUGAAAGAUGGUUUUGCUAUCACUUAUAGAUGGACCCGCGCCGUAUUAGCUAGUUGGUAAGGUAACGGCUUACCAAGGCAACGAUACGUAGCCGACCUGAGAGGGUGAUCGGCCACACUGGAACUGAGACACGGUCCAGACUCCUACGGGAGGCAGCAGUAGGGAAUCUUCCGCAAUGGGCGAAAGCCUGACGGAGCAACGCCGCGUGAGUGAUGAAGGGUUUCGGCUCGUAAAACUCUGUGAUUAGGGAAGAACAAAUGUGUAAGUAACUGUGCACGUCUUGACGGUACCUAAUCAGAAAGCAACGGCUAACUACGUG
rnacentral:rRNA from 1 species